rnacentral:rRNA from 1 species
GGGCGUUAAGUUGCAGGGUAUAGACCCGAAACCCGGUGAUCUAGCCAUGGGCAGGUUGAAGGUUGGGUAACACUAACUGGAGGACCGAACCGACUAAUGUUGAAAAAUUAGCGGAUGACCUGUGGCUGGGGGUGAAAGGCCAAUCAAACCGGGAGAUAGCUGGUUCUCCCCGAAAGCUAUUUAGGUAGCGCCUCGUGAAUUCAUCUCCGGGGGUAGAGCACUGUUUCGGCUAGGGGGCCAUCCCGGCUUACCAACCCGAUGCAAACUGCGAAUACCGGAGAAUGUUAUCACGGGAGACACACGGCGGGUGCUAACGUCCGUCGUGAAGAGGGAAACAACCCAGACCGCCAGCUAAGGUCCCAAAGUCAUGGUUAAGUGGGAAACGAUGUGGGAAGGCCCAGACAGCCAGGAUGUUGGCUUAGAAGCAGCCAUCAUUUAAAGAAAGCGUAAUAGCUCACUGGUCGAGUCGGCCUGCGCGGAAGAUGUAACGGGGCUAAACCAUGCACCGAAGCUGCGGCAGCGACGAGGCCGAAAGGCGUAGUCGAUGGGAAACGGGUUAAUAUUCCCGUACUUGGUGUUACUGCGAAGGGGGGACGGAAGGCGCUUGAGAGAACUCGGGUGAAGGAACUAGGCAAAAUGGUGCCGUAACUUCGGGAGAAGGCACGCUGACAYGUAGGUGAAGUGAUUUACUCAYGGAGCUGAAGUCAGUCGAAGAUACCAGCUGGCUGCAACUGUUUAUUAAAAACACAGCACUGUGCAAACACGAAAGUGGACGUAUACGGUGUGACGCCUGCCCGGUGCCGGAAGGUUAAUUGAUGGGGUCAGCGCAAGCGAAGCUCCUGAUCGAAGCCCCGGUAAACGGCGGCCGUAACUAUAACGGUCCUAAGGUAGCGAAAUUCCUUGUCGGGUAAGUUCCGACCUGCACGAAUGGCGUAAUGAUGGCCAGGCUGUCUCCACCCGAGACUCAGUGAAAUUGAACUCGCUGUGAAGAUGCAGUGUACCCGCGGCAAGACGGAAAGACCCCGUGAACCUUUACUAUAGCUUGACACUGAACAUUGAGCCUUGAUGUGUAGGAUAGGUGGGAGGCUUUGAAGYGUGGACGCCAGUCUGCRUGGAGCCGACCUUGAAAUACCACCCUUUAAUGUUUGAUGUUCUAACGUGGACCCGURAUCCGGGUUGCGGACAGUGUCUGGUGGGUAGUUUGACUGGGGCGGUCUCCUCCUAAAGAGUAACGGAGGAGCACGAAGGUUGGCUAAUCCUGGUCGGACAUCAGGAGGUUAGUGCAAUGGCAUAAGCCAGCUUGACUGCGAGCGUGACGGCGCGAGCAGGUGCGAAAGCAGGUCAUAGUGAUCCGGUGGUUCUGAAUGGAAGGGCCAUCGCUCAACGGAUAAAAGGUACUCCGGGGAUAACAGGCUGAUACCGCCCAAGAGUUCAUAUCGACGGCGGUGUUUGGCACCUCGAUGUCGGCUCAUCACAUCCUGGGGCUGAAGUAGGUCCCAAGGGUAUGGCUGUUCGCCAUUUAAAGUGGUACGCGAGCUGGGUUUAGAACGUCGUGAGACAGUUCGGUCCCUAUCUGCCGUGGGCGCUGGAGAACUGAGGGGGGCUGCUCCUAGUACGAGAGGACCGGAGUGGACGCAUCACUGGUGUUCGGGUUGUCAUGCCAAUGGCACUGCCCGGUAGCUAAAUGCGGAAGAGAUAAGUGCUGAAAGCAUCUAAGCACGAAACUUGCCCCGAGAUGAGUUCUCCCUGAGACUUAGAGUCUCCUGAAGGAACGUUGAAGACGACGACGUUGAUAGGCCGGGUGUGUAAGCGCAGCGAUGCGUUGAGCUAACCGGUACUAAUGAACCGUGAGGCUUAACCUUACAACGCCGAAG